ACUGCCUGUUUGUUGAAGAAACAAUAAAAUGUUAUCCAGCCCGUUCACAAAAAUAGGGAAGCAUGAUCAUUAAAACCAAAACAUCAAGAUGAAGCCAUCAAACGUACCUUCGGAACUUGCUUUUUGGGUUUCUCAUUGGACUCCGAGCCAUCAACAGUUUGCACGCCCACAUCAACUUUGUCAACAAGCAGAAUCGGCUUAGAUUCUUCAGGCUUAUAGGAAAAUCUGAAGGAAGAUCGCCUCAAUACAGAACUCCUGCAAUGACUAUCAAUAAUUUCCAUGCCACGAUGAAGGCUGGCCGCUAAAUGUUCAGUUGAUGCAAGGAAACUCUUACUGGUUUGAGGAAUUAGAGCAGUUGAAGGUUCGGAUUUUGCAGAGGAUAUACGGUUCUCUGGUCCUGACUUGCUUUCAUCCUUGGAAUCUUUCUGGGAAGCAGUUAACAUUGAUGAAGUCCGCAAACUUUUCCUGCUGAUGUUGAGUCUAGGCGAAACACUUGGAGUUGGAGAUUUAAGAACAGGGGACACUUCAGAAGGAACUAUACUGAGGCUUGAAGGAGACACACAAUUCCCUGUCUCUUUUUGAGAACCAUUUGGUUCGUCUGUGGUGGAAAUGCUAGUGGAAAAUCCACUUUGGGAACCAGAAGUGCAGGAGGACCUGACCUCCACCAUUUUGUUUGGUGAUUCUUCUGUUAUCAAUUUACUGACGGAGGACCUAAGAGUCCCUUUCUCCUCAGCUGGCUCCUCGCAAGAUUCUGCAUCGGGUGUGUCAACAAGUAAAUCGGACUGGACUUUCUAGUAUUUGUAAGACUGUUCAUGUAAAUCCAUAAAAUCACGACAAAUAUUAGCAUUAAUGUUGGAAAAACCUGACGUGUUGUUUCUAGCAGGUUCAGCACAACCCGAUAUCAGAAUCUCAUGCUUUUCAGCUUGUUCAGGUAUUGUUUCUUCCAUGUCGACAUCUGAAUCCUCAGUACCUUGGUCUAUGAUAGAUCUGCCUUCAUCAACAUAAUUUUGAUAUGUUGCACCUGCUGGUCCCAGACCUACUUGAAUGCAGAGCUUUUCAACAGCUCCCUCGUCAAUUUCCAUCAUCUCAUCACCAUCUUCAUCUACUUGAGGUAAUCGAGGAAGUGGAUGGAUAAGGCUUUUCAAUAUAUUCAAACUUUUACGGGGAUCCCAACCUGUUGGAUUGUUGCUAUUUGCUUUCACCCGGUGCAAUUCAUCCUGUUGCAUUCAUCCAGAGUCAUGUAUGUGCAACUAUUGAUGACACAAAAAAAUUAAUAAUUGAAAAUAA